CGAGCCGCCCUGCAGCUCGCACCGCCGCGGGUCGCCCGCGCCGCCGCGCAUCCCUCGCCACCGGCCCUCGCCCGAGCCGCCCCACAGCUCGCGCCGCCGCCGGAACAACCCCGGCCCCUUCGCCGGUCACCGGAGGUACUACCUCGCCCCGUCGGCUCCCCCUCCUCGCCACUACACUUCGAUUUGACGGCGCCCACCACCGGAUCCGGCCGCCGGUGGCUCGGCGCCCACCACGACGGCGCCUCCUCCUCGCCACUUCACCUCUUCGGCGCUGCCUUUGCUCCCGCAAGCAGCCCGGGCCUCUCGGCGCGUCAUCCAGCCAUCCUCGCCGCGCCCCGCUGCUGUCACGCCGCGUCGAGGUGAAGUGGUUGCCACCGCGAUGGGUCCCCGUCCCCUUGCGCAAAGAGGCGGCGGGUCGACGUCAGCUCGUCGCCUCUCUGACGAUCUGCUCCGGCCCGAGGACCUCACCGUCGCAGACACGUUCCCCGGCCUCCCGCAUACCGUGCGGGUCAGGUGGAUGAGAUGAUGAAUGUGAACCAGAUGGAGGAGCAGGUGCCAAUAGCACAUCUGACUUGUGCCUGAAGGAUAGCAGGUUUGGGGUUCUCUUGUCUCCUCUUUUAAUCUGAUAAACCAUUUUGCUUAUCAACCAUUUAAUUUGGUACUCAUAGUGCAAGUAAAGAGAAGUCUGAUAAACCAGGUUGAUCAGCCACGUGCAAGUAAAUAUAAGUCUGUUGCACUUGGUAAAACUUUCCACUGUGAGACCACCUCAACUGGAAGGUAUUCUCUGCCUUUGAUCAAAGUUCAGGUCACCAGAAUAGACUUUUCUGCUAUGUGUGGUUAUUUCAGUGUUCGUUAAAUUUGCGACGGAAAGACUCGUUAGUUUUGUUCAAUGACUUCAUGUAUCCAGACUAUUUGCUGAAUAUCCAUUGGAUAAGAAUUCUUUGCAAUCCUGUUAGAAUAGAUAAAAACUGACAGGUCAAAGCUAUGUUAAAAUAACGUGGCAUAUUUCUAAAAAAAAGUUGUUAAUUGAUCUUCACAUUGUUAAUAUUAAUGCUUCAUUAAGCUUUUAUGCGGUAAGCUAAUGCCAUUCUGUGUUAUCACUUAUCAGUCUAAAGCAUCAGACCUGAAAAUGUGGAAUUCAUAUGCUCAUAGUCUGCUUCUUUUCUUUUUGUUAUACCUGAAGUUCUGUAUAUUUCUUUUAGACUGGUUGGAUUUGAGGACGCCCAUCCUUUCAAGACGAUUUGAAUGAUUAAGGACAUUGUUUCUUCUUAUAGUUGGUUAUGUGGAAAAUUUAUAGUAUUGCUGUAAUACAGGGUGAGGAGGAUCGGCUAUUGCAACAAGCUUGUGCGAUGUUGAUAGAAGAUGGUAACCAUGGAACUUUGCGACUGUUAGGUGCUGCAGAUGAGGUGGAUUUAGUUCUUCAGACGUCUGUUCAAGAAGAAGAAACCGGCGUCAGUCUGACAUGAGUGAAGUGUUUGGGGAUCAACCAUUUGUGCGAUCUGUCACUUUUGCUCUUCCUGGUAUCGACCUUGACGAUCUAUCUAACAAGGAUCUGCAUGAAUGGCAUGAUUUAUUGAUUGGCCCGAGCGAGGGUGCUGAUGGAGAUGUCGGCGUCCGGAGGUAGCGCCUAGGUGACUCGUGGCAGAUGCAAGCUAGCAGUUGGGCGAUAUGAAGGCGAUGAAGUUGCGUCGUCAGGCCACAUCUAAUGGAAUUUGGAUUUCACAAAUGGUGGCUAAUUGCAUGAAAACAAAUUUUAAGUCUUCAGACUUGAUUUUGUUUGGAUAUAAACAGCUAUGGAGACAAUACUUUCAGAAGUUCAGUGAUAUUUGGUUCAUGGGAUUAUGGCUGCAAAGUACAAAUAAAAAACUGCACACUCUAGAAUUAGAACAUGGAGUACAAUUAGAUAGGCUUUCAAUGGUUGAGUACCUUUUGGUUUAUCAAAUCCCCAGUAAUUCAGGAUCAAGAUUAUGACAUUAUGUGUACAAAGUAACAUGAGAGACAUGGUUGCUCGCAGUAAUUCAAAACUCUAGAUUCAAGUAUUUAUGUUAAACUUCAGUCUAGGUGGCACAAUGAAUUGAAAUAUUAGUUUAGUGAUAUUGGGUGCUUGGGAUUAGUGGAUUCAAAGUACAAAUAAGAAAGAAGUUGCGCAUUGUAGAAUUAGAACAUGGAGUGCAAUCAGAUAUGUUGUCAAUGGCUUAAGAGACUUGACUGCUUUCAGUAACUCAAAACUCAAGAUUCAUAUAUUUGUCUAAAAAAAUGUAUUUGUGUUAAACUUGCUCCAGUCUAGGCAUCACGAUGAAUCAAACACCACAACCGCGGGGACGCUAUCCCCGUGCUGGGUAAUGAGUCGUUUCCAGCAGCGAUAUGGUUUUGCCAAAAAAAAAAUCGACAAUCACGGAAUCACCUGCUGGAUCGAGCGCUGACUGCUACAGCCACAAGUUGAACAUGUCCCGCAAUGUCACCAGGUACAGUUUUGUUUCCUCUCUUUCUCCCAUUCUCUGAUGUAUGUGAUCUAAAGGUGAUAUGCUAUUACCACUGCACACAACAAAUUUGCAGAAAUGCCUAAUAUAAUAAUAUAGCUAGGAAUCUGGGGUACAGUAGAAAUACCAACUCGUCGCCAUGUCCCAUGUGUGUCUCCGUACAUGACAACAAAUGUGCUUCUCAACCUUAUUUUGAACUUCUUUCUAUCAUGUGAGGAUCAAAACAACAGUUCAAGACUGUGACCAUAAGAUGUUCCACUAGGUCACCGAUUUGUAUUUUGUGCUAUUCUUUUCACACACGGAGCAUGAAUAUUGUUUGCAUCAAAGUGAAUGUCUUAGAUGUUGAACGUUCUUUACAAGUAUUUUAUAUGAUGAAAAUUAAUACUUGUAUUAGUAAUUUGUUUCGAUCUUAGUAAUGAAUAAGUACAAAUCUAUUUUUGAAAAGCAAAUAUAUGAUUGUAAUUGAGUUUUCACAGGGUUCAUAAAGUUUGGAUUUGAAUGUAUGUUGAGAUAGGGUAUUGGUCAUUUGAUUUGCUUUACUAAAUGCUGCAUUAUGUUAGCACUUAGCAGAGGCAUUGUUAAACAACAUAUGAUAAUGCUAGUAUGAUAUAUUUAGUUAAAAGCAUGUUUGGUUCAGAUUCAUAGGAUGAUAUAUUUAGUUAAAUGUCACAUUUCAUUCCUAUUUUGUUUUGUUCAGAUUCAUAGGCGACCACUAUGAUUGUGACACUGCCAUAGCAGCCAAGAGAUAGCUUUUAUUUGGCCUUUUAUUUAAAGUUUCUAGAGUUAGCAAUUCUUUUGAAAAUUGGAAGCCCAAAUGAUUGGGGUUUUUGGGAGUGUUUACGUGAGUUCAUAUUUGGAAAGCUUUAGGAAGGAGAGAGGAUACAUGAUGGAGUCUGACAGACUGUCAGUGAGAAAAAGCACCAUGGAAGACCACAUAAGGUUUGAUUUCAGUUUUCUAAAGAUCAGAAAUGCCAUUUGUUUCUCUUUAGUUUGUUACACUGAGAAAAAUUGAGAUACUGAAAUGACUAGCACCAUUUUGGGACUUCUUUGGUCGGUCUUCGAGGAAAAAAAGUUGAGCCAGCUCUUCAAAUUGCAUAUUAAGAUGUAUGGAUGUUGUACUGUAUAUUUGUUUUGUGCAUUUAAGAAUACAUCAGCAUCUAGCAUAAAGUGAUUUAUAAAAUGCAUCCCUGACAGCACUAGCCAUGUCUUUAAUUAAUUACUGAUCCUCAGAAGGAUACCAUUAAAUUUUAUCUCAUAAGAUGUUGCAGCAUACUCCUAAUCUGACAUGAUGAUCCAUUUUUUUUUUUUGCUAAAGGGCACUGUUGCCAAUGUGGAGAAGAAAGACAUGGAGUCAAAUGACAUACUCCGCUUAGAACGGUUAAGGCGUGAGCUGAUCGAGUUAGAAAAGUGAGUGCAGAUGAUGCUCAAAAGGAGAAGGUAUGCCUGUUUAAGAAAAUUUUGAAACAGAAAACUACAGGUUCUACAGAAUUUGGGUGAACAUUUGGAAUGGGAGAUCAGCAAUGUUAUGAGAUUGAUUGCACUCUUUUUUGUUGUUAGCUGUUGUUUUCUGCUACUGUUUUAACAAUAGAGGAUGGUGUCGCUGCUACAUUUUUUUCUGCAACUGUGCCUUCCAGUGAGGCUAGCAAGAAGGAGAAUAUGGUAAUUCUGAACUUUCCAGCCGUGCCGGUACAUUAAUUUCAAAUUCAAACCUCACUUCUACAAUCUGAUGAGACUAACUUAUAAAUUAUUGCCAGACAACGGUGUGUGUCUGGUUAACAGCCUAACUCAUGUCGAGCACUUCGUUUUGUCCAAAUAUUUAAGUUUAUUUUAUUUUAUUUAUGUUUACUAUCAACAUCUUGUAUGCAUAAUUUCUUUUACAUUCUGGUUGGUCCAACAUUAAAAGACUCCAUAGUACGAUCUUCACCUAUCAGUAUCAAAAUUAAUGUGUACUUUAAAAGUUAACAGGAGGCUGGGGGCUCAAUUCGUUGAGGAAGAGGAGGAUAGGAUGGAGGAGGAGGACGCCGUUGGAGAUGGCACGGAUGAGGUGUUGGUGGUGAGAUAGGAGCGUGGCACAGGAGAGCAUAGUGGCACAGGAGAGCAUAGGUCGAGAUGCAAAUGGAGUGUUGGGCUUUGAAAGGGUGGCAUCGCUAUGAGUUCAGCUUACAUGGGAAUGAAUUAAAAUCUCAAUGUAUGAUGUUGUUGAUAUUUGUCUCAUCAUAGAAGUUAAGACUUAUGUUUCUUUGAUUGGAAUCUAUACAAAUGACAUGGUCUUCAUUGAAAAUAUCAUAUUUUUUCUA